rnacentral:rRNA from 1 species
GAUGAACGCUGGCGGCGUGCCUAAUGCAUGCAAGUCGAGCGACGCAUACCGGAGGGGUAACCCACUGGUAUGACGGAGCGGCGAACGGGUGAGUAACACGUGAGCAACCUGCCCCACAGACCGGGAUAGCCCAGGGAAACCUGGAUUAAUACCGGAUGUCCUCGAACGACCACAUGGUCGAUCGAGGAAAUGCCUUUGUGCUGUGGGAUGGGCUCGCGGCUUAUCAGCUAGUUGGUGGGGUAACGGCCUACCAAGGCAUCGACGAGUAGCUGGUCUGAGAGGACGAUCAGCCACACUGGAACUGAGACACGGUCCAGACUCCUACGGGAGGCAGCAGCAGGGAAUCUUGCGCAAUGGGCGAAAGCCUGACGCAGCAACGCCGCGUGGGGGAUGAAGGCCUUCGGGUUGUAAACCCCUUUCAGGAGGGAAGAAAUUGACGGUACCUCCAGAAGAAGCACCGGCCAACUACGUGCCAGCAGCCGCGGUAAUACGUAGGGUGCGAGCGUUAUCCGGAAUCAUUGGCGUAAAGAGCUCGUAGGCGGUUCAGCAAGUCGGCUGUUGAAAGUCCGAGGCUCAACCUCGGAAUUGCAGUCGAUACUGCUGUGACUCUCC